CAACAACGGAUCUCUUGGUUCUGGCAUCGAUGAAGAACGCAGCGAAAUGCGAUAAGUAAUGUGAAUUGCAGAAUUCAGUGAAUCAUCGAAUCUUUGAACGCACAUUGCGCCCCUCGGUAUUCCGGGGGGCAUGCCUGUUCGAGCGUCAUUACACCCCU
rnacentral:rRNA from 1 species